CAGGAAUUUGGAGACCCCCUCUUAGUGUCUCAUGUCCCCCAAGGGGGUCCCAACCCCAAGGUUGAGAACCACGGCUUCAGAGGAUCCAGCCUUUGCAGCCUGGUUAGACUAUCAGGAUGAGACGUGAUGUUGAUGUAGCACCGUCUUGUUCCUGCUGUCUCUGAAGAGAGAAUAAAGAAGGAGACAUCAGAACUAUCAGAGUUAAAUAAUGAUAAUGCCAAUAAUGCCAUCACUUUGAUAAAUCUACUAUGUAUGCAUCAGGAAGUUCUUCCAAAUGUCUUCUCUGACAUUAAAGGAGCAUCAUCUUACACAUCA